GAUGCUGACGGCGUGGUUCUUCAAGCACUCUCGGUAUCUGGUCGCUGUUUUCCUCCGGGACGACAUGGUUUCCCCAACACCUGUGCUUCCCAUUUUGGGUCUCGAUGAGAUCCCCAGCGAUUCGUAGCCCCCCGAUACUGGUAAAGGUAAAGAAGACUAAAGAGAAUAAGCUGGAUCACAUGGGGGCGAUGAUCAGAGAGAAGACAGAUCCGCCACCGGCCCUACCACCGCCGGCGAUGAAGCUUCUGUCAAUUUUCCAACUCUACCCUUUUUUUUCUGCAUAUCCUGCAAGACCUUUUCUUUUGUUGCCCAGAGAAGAUAAGAAGAGGAGAGUGUGGUCAUCAAUUCCCCGCCUGCAAAAAGGGCAGUCUUCCUCAUAAGCCUUUCAUAUACUUUCCGUUUCUGAAAUAUCUCUCUCCACUCUCCCCCAAAAUGAAAGGCAAAAGUUUUUAUGGACGGACUCGUCUUGUGAUCCAUUUUAUUAUGCCAUUUAGAUAAAUUAUAUGGCAAUUUAAAUUGUUAAAUAUUUAAUAAAUGAUUUUUAUUAGUUGCUUGUAAAA